GUUCAUUCGGGAGCAUCCGAGCUGACUUCAGCUGUUAGCAUCAAGCGGAAAGUGUAAUAAGUUGCCUGUGUUUUAAAAGUAGCAGAACCUGAUCCAGCGUUUCGGGAACUGCUGCCUGCAAAACAAGGCUGCAAAAUGGCGUUCAUUGCCAGGCAACUUAUCAUCUUUGGCCUCGUUGUGACUGCUUUCUGCUUGACUAUAGCAAGUCCGACGAGGGAGCUGGCAGGAGAGAAGGAAGCCGAAUCUGACCUUCCAGAAAUUACUGAUCAAGAAUCGGGCGUCCUUGGCCGCUUGUGGUCCAGCCUAAGCACUCUAACUGGUCUUAAAAGGAGAGAUACAGGGGAUCGACUUGAUAGAUUCCGACGAGAGCUCCUCACCAGCUGGCACCACAACAUUAAGACUUUAACGCAUGCUAGUAGAAGAUACAGGCGGAGUCUGGAGGAUGGAAUCACCACAGAUUAUGAAGGUUACUGGUUACUUACUGACCUUAAUACCAACGUUCUUCCUCGACUAACUUCUUUUAGUGCUCCUUCUGGUAUCAACUCCAUGACGAUAUUCGAACACGGAACUAGUUUGUUCUGGGUAGCUACAUACGGUACAGGAAUCGCCGUUUAUUACCUUAAUGUGAGUACUGACACAUUUGAGCAAACUACGAUAACAAGUAAAAGCGCUUCAAAGUGCGUGCCAGUAAUGGAAACGCCAAGUUUUAUCGAAAUGGUUUGUGCAGAAAGUCUUGAUGAUGGAGAUAAGGUGGGCAGCGGUGCUUAUACUAUAACUUGGAGUAACGGCCUUAAGGUUAAACUUGUUAGAACCUUACCAACACCGAGCGGCUAAAGAUGUAUCUACAUGGGAAACUAACGAUGGCGUAUUUAUUGCUUUCGCGAAUUCGUUUAAUACAAAAUUAAAUACUGUAGAAUGCAUCAGUGAAGUCUACCAACUUGAAACUGCUGUAACUUCGAAAGGCACUUACACUAACUACGACAAGCUAGACACUGCCGAUUUCUUUACAAAGAGUGCGCGUAGCCUAGAGGCCUUCAAGAUCAUGACUAGGCAAUUUGUAGCAGUGGCAAACCAUAUGGAUGAUAAAGGCAACGUGGAGAUAGACAGUGAGAUCUUCAUCUACGACGUCCAUUAUGCACGAAUGAGGCCUUUCCAACGCAUCCGGACCAGUGCUGCUAGGGACUGGGCUGCUUUCCACUUUUCAAAUGGAAAGAAAUCGGAGCAUUUCUUAGCAGUUGCUAAUGAAUAUAGCCUUGAUGCAGGUGGCAGGAAAAACUACAACAUAGACUCGGUCAUCUAUAGGUAUGAUGAAGCCAGCGAGAAAUUCUUGCCUUUCCAGUGCAUUCCAACCCAAGGUGCAUACCAGUGGAUAACUUACAAGGGAGAGCAUGGUGAAGUGCUGCUGGGUGUUGUGAAUAGCGCAUCGGGCGUAGCCUUCUACCAAUACAAUGGGUGGCGCUUCGUCAGGAUAAAUAUACCCUUGUCGGCUCCAGGAGUAGAAUGGGCAUGGAUUGGCAACCUGCCAAACACCUUAAAGAAGGCACUCUUCAUGAUGUCGACAAGCCAGGCUAAUCCACGACCAGCUUCUUCUUACCUCGAGUUUACAUACCAGAAUCCACUUGGGACCUACCACAAUGCUACUGCUGAAUGGUGCUCUUCAUACAAGACUGAAAUGGCCAAUGAUGGGUUGUCACAACUUGUUCUGGAUGUACAACAGGCCCCCAAAACCACCGAAAGCCAUACUUUCACGAAACCUGUACACAUCGAUGGCAGCCUGACUCUUCCUGCAGGCUCGGCAGUUUCGGAAGUGAAAGAUAUCCUCUGCCAAUCUGAAUCCAUGGCAGUGGACUACAAGUUCCAUGCAGACACAAGGACGCUAAUUGACGACCGGAAGGCUCUCGAAGUUCGGCUUGCAGGAGUUGCCAACACCGUCUCCCAAUCCAGAUCCAUUAACAACCCAGACUUGGAUGGACUUCACUUUGCUCACCUGGUUACUACAUGCAGUACACCAGGAUGUGUUGCCAGUACAGUCGACUCUCUAACGGCAGACACGGUCAAUGGUGUUGUAGCGUCUUACGACGGUGUUGCCCUAUUGAACAACACAAAUGUGAAGCUCAACCUAACCUUUGCUGAAGUAGCAGUGGCAGGAGGUGCUCUAGCAAUUGUAGAAACCGUCAAGGCUGAUAAUACGGCUGUUAUUCCCAUGAAUGAGCUGGUAACCCUCCACCAGGACCACACCAUAACUGCAGAUGUUGCUUUUGACAAGGUUCUGGUUGAUAACCUGCAAGUCUCUGGUACAGUCGAUGCCUUGACUGUGGACGAUUCUACUCUUCUACUGACCUAUGGUGAACAAACUGUAAAUGGACUGGUAACGGUAGAUGGUGCUGAUAGUACACUAAUAAGUACUACCAAUGUCAAUGGCAGAAACUUCGAUGAUUUUGUAGCAUCUCUCAUUGUGAAUGGAACCACAGAUACUUUUGAAGGACUGCUGGAAGUAGGUGAUGAUCUAAUAGCGCCCAACAUAGAUACUGUGGAAAGCAUGACGCCCCUUAACCCUGUAGAUGUUAAGGCCCGUGCACUCCUCCACACAACAACCAACACCCAAGUUGUUUCAGGACUCCAUAGUGUUGGCAGCCUGGAGGCGGUUAAUGGAGUUUGGUUUGACAAUCUGAAUGGUGUUCUAGUACCAGAUGAGGUAUUCCUGAAGGAUGAAACGGUGACAGUCUCUUUCCCACCACUUUCGACUCUAUCUCGGCUCAGAGUAUUCAAGUAACAAAUGCCAUAAACGAUGUGAAGCAAGUGGGAGGCAGCUUGGAAUUCCUCUUGCUUAACAAGGAUGCAACCCUGUCAAAGAAGACCUUCACCAGUCUCACACUAGAGAAGGACUCUACUGUGGCCAAGCUAGUGGCUGGUUAUGACUUGGAUUACUUAGCAACAGGACUUCAUGAACAGUUCUUGCAGGAUCUUAAUGCUGGAAGAGCUGUGAACGGCUCGGUGAUCUUCGAGAAGGAACUAGAUGUUACUAGUGAUAAGAUCCAUGUGUUUAGUAUUGGCAAGAUCAGGGAUACAGCAGUUCCCCUCACUGCCACAAGCUUGAAUACUGCUCUGACCUUUGAAAACCCUUAUACAGAUGCUGGUGCUUUGACUGUUUCAUCUACCAUUAACGGAGUUGGAAAGGAUGACUACGUACUCUUGGAUUCUGACAACACCAUGUCUCUCCAAAGACCUUGUUUCGGAUAUGGAGUGUCGUGAUGAUGUGACGGCAGGACUGGUCAGUGGUUAUGACCUUCCAAUUUGCAACUGAUGUAGUACUCAAGAAGGGCUCUGCACAGAACUUCUACAAGACUUGUCAAUGACGUCAGCAGAUGUGAAUGGUGACCGGAAUGUAGGCGGCCCCAAAUACCAUUGGUGGUGUAAACUUUGAUAGUGUCGUCGCUCUUAAUGCAACUGAAACCGUGAGAGGCCAGAAGACUUUCACAGAGGUUGAAGUAACUUCUUCAACAUUGCUGGUGCUGUUAAUGUGGGUAACUUUGGAACAGUUGAUGGUGUAGUGAUCAAAGAAAUUUUUUCUUUGACGACAGCCUGAGGAAAUCUGUGUCAAAAACCCAGGAGUUGGUUGGUAGGAACAUGGUUACAAUAGUAGCACAAAAUGCUGAAGGGAAACAGACCUUUCGGCCUUUGAAAGGAAGGUUGUGUACAAGGAUACAACGGAGACCAUUUCUGGUGGUUUAACAUUUGACAGGCUCGGUUUCGGUAGAUACUCUUCACUUCGAAAGAGACUUUGAUGGUGUGUCAAAAACAGCAUACAAGUCUGCUUGGCUUCUAAAUGAGGGUCCCCAGACCCUAACUGAGUGAACCUCUUGCCAAUGUUGAUGCAUCUGCUGUGACCUUCCAAGGAACAUACAUAGAUUAAAGUAGAUAUUGGUCGCUUGCAUACAAAGACUGCAAAAAUUGAUGAACAGACCACUCUGAAUUCGAAACAUUUGGUAAGCAACUCCAUGGUUGAGGUGGGGUCAUUAUCUCCAAUUACCUUGGAUGGAACUAUCCAAAAGGGUGGGAUCUUCAUGAGCAGGGCCCUUUCAGUCUUCCCCACACAUCAAAAGGGGUUUGGUUUAAAAAAACCCAUACACAUUAAAAACAGUAUUGCUGUAAAUGACUUUCAUUGUUCCUAAGUGGGGGGGUGGAGAACCCUGGGGCUUUAAAGAGCCAAUUCUGUAGCUCUUUCAUGCAGAAUGGAAAAGGGCAUGGGAGACCUUGAUAAAAAGGUAAUGCCGUGUUCAAUAAGGACUUGGGUAUCAGCAACUCCUUCAACAAUGAGAACGUGGCAACCCUUGCCAGUGUGUUUUUGGUCUUGUAUUCAACUGACCCCAAGUUAAAAAUUCUGGAAACUGGCUAACCUAAAAAGGCCCUUUCUUUUCUGGGCUUGAUAAAUGGUGAAGACUUCUCUACCUUGUCAGAAGAAGUACUGAAGAACACUUGCAAAGAGCAAAGGGUAACUGCAUCUUGGAAUCUGGCUACCUUGAAGCUUCUAGCUUGCAGCAGACACUGUAACAAUCCUCUACAGGAUUCGGAUGUGUUUGAGCUUGAAAGAAUCCUGAGGACAGACAAGAUGCAGACCAUUUCUGGUGCAAAGACCUUCCCAGAAGUCCAAGUUUCAGGAUCUGUGGCUCUUGAUGGAACCCUCAAUGGACUGGAUGUGAAGACCAAUUUAGUUCAGUACGGUAAGAGUGCAUGAAAUAACUGCUGAAAAGACUUUCAAUCAAAAGCUGACCAUAAAAGGAGACUUGUCCAUGGGCAGUGGUAGCACUGUUCAGGGUGUUGAUGUUCGGCAUUUGAAGAAUCUGCUGUACUACAUAAUGACAGUGGCAUUACAAAGCCUGUUAGUGAAUUACUACCUUCAAAGGCUUGACCUUGAAAGAACCUGGAAGUUGGUGGUACUGUUGAUGGUGUACAGGUAGAUAGUAAUACUAUUCUCCUAACCACUGAGCACAAAAUGUAGCUGGCUUGGUCACUGUAUCUGUACCUGGACAAGACAAGGUAGUCUUUGUUGAGCAGAACCUUGAGGUCCAGGACAAGAAGUUCAACUCGAUCAGUCUUGAUAAGCUGUAUGAAGAUACGGUUCGUGUUGAUGGGAACAAGGAUACCAUUACAGCAGAAGUAACCUUUGCAGCAUCUCCAACAUUUCAAGCUUGACUCUUGAAAACCACCUUGUAAAUGGUUACAACUUGACAGACCUCAUAUUGGUACUUAAUGGUAAACACACCCUUGAUAAUAUGGGAGAUCUUCUAGAAGAAGCCAUCACAGCUUCACAAGACUCACAACAAAUAUCCACAGAAAGGCCAACUGACCUCUGGUACUUCUAUGAAACAAGGUUCCAGGAGAAACUGUACAAGCUACAACACCAUGUCUUAAUUUCCAACUAUUCAUAGGUUGUCAAUCCCUUGGGACACAACUCUGUUGAUGCUUUUGUUGGCCUGAACUGGGAUGAUACAAGUGUCCAGAUAUAUGGGCCCGAGCUUGGAAGAAGAUCCUUAGCUGAUGAACUAAAGGACCUCUGUGAAGAGAAGGAACAUUUGGAUGUGUUGUCAGCUUUCCCACCCACAAGCAGUAUUAGUGUUCCUAAAGCAACUGUAGCUGCUGGCUUGGGAAGCAAUCACUUGGCUGUAUGUGGCAACUCGCUUGUAACUUUCCCAUAUACAGCUUCGUCAACCUACCAACAACUGGAUUUUAUGUCUUGUCUUGUCUAGAUUUCAGAUGAGCUGGGCCAAGGAACCUCCUAUGGCCACAUCUUCUCCAUUAGUCCAGUCGAAACUGUUGUAUCCUUCAGUACCAUACAAUGCAGAGACCUAGUGGCAUUCCACUUGCAUAAUGGUAGGACUGCUUGGCAGUGAUUGAUCAUGAACCUCCUCUGCUGUGAUUUGUGGACUGCACCAACAGAUACAGGCUACUGAACUACCUGGAACUAGUCGUGCAGUUGAGCUCUUCCUCAAUUUGAAGACUUUCAAAUAUGAUGCGGGUACAACCUAUGGCUCUGGUAAGCAUGGUCUCGGCCAUAACCCCUAUACAACCUUUAAGGUGCCUGGGGCUUUGGCAAGUAACUUUUGGGGAAUUGGGGCCCAAUAUGAUUGGGUUCUCAUCCAGACUGAGCAGGGUACUACCAAUUCCAAAAUUGCUAACUGUGGAGAUCCCACAGUCAGGAUCAAGUGCAGUUCAAGUAAUGCCAGUAAACGGCUUGCAUGCCUACACCGGGCCCCUACAUCCAGCGGUGUUUGGGGCCCAGGACCUGCCCUUCGUCCCCUGCCUCUCCCGGUGAUCACGGUCCGCUUCUGGGUUUUUGGGGACCGUGCCUUCCACCAGUCCCUCUACCCCGGUAGUUUUCCCCCGGGUUUUCUCGGUGCAGUUUUCCCCGGGCAGCCUCGGCAGGCGCUCCUCCGGCAUGUCCUCGCGGGCAGCCCCCUCCCAUCCGUUCCCCACCAGACCCGGGCGGGACCCCUGCCAACUGGUCUUUGGGUCGUCUCGCCCCUCAUUGCCCCUCCUGCGGGCUCGGCAGGCUUUUUCCUUGCGCGUCAUGGGGGGCUUUCCCCCGCACAGGGGCUUUUUCCGGUGGCUCCUGGGCAGCGACACUCAUCCCGGCGGUCCUGCGCCGGGGCUUUUCCCGGGUGCGCAUCCUGGCGGGCGAGACUCAUCCAGCGCAUCCGGGCAGGCGAAGACUUCCGGCGCGUCCUGGCGGCCACUCUCCCGCGUCCUGGGCAGGAAACGCUCUCCCGCUCCUGGGCGGGCGACGACUUCGGGCACGUCCUGGCAGGCGACGACUCAUCCGGGCGCCCUUGGGCGGGCGACGACUACCGGCGCUCUGGGCAGGCGGCUUUCCGGUGGGGCACUGGGCAGCGAGCUCAUCCACCACCCUAG